AGAAAAGAUAUUCAGCUGAAAGGAUUUGAUUUCAAACCGGAAGAACAGAACAAGAAGGAGGCAAUUUUGAGAUAUCCAGACCAGUUUGUUGAUCACUUGUGGAUCCUGCGUCUUCCUCUCUAUGUCAGUGCUUUUUCAAAACCCAAGAGAGGAGGGUAAUUUAUUGUUGGCAUAGGAGAGAAAGAAAAGACAUUCCAGAACAAAAUCAAAGGGAGGGAAGUCCAAUAUUUGUCUAAAACAUAUGAAGUUCAUGGAAUUGAACUGGCCUCGGACACAAUAAAGAGACUUUUCAAAGAUACCAUGUGUCUCAUUGACUACAAGGGCGACAAUUUAGAUAGGCUGGACGGUGCAGGCGAAAGGUGGAACACGGAAAUGCAAAUCCUUCUUGGUACCUCAAACAUGGCAUUGAUAUACAUGGGAACAUCGCUUGCACAGAAGCUAGAUUUGCAGCUGACGGACACCAGCGUGGAAGGAGUUGCUUUUGAUGCCUGUGUUAUCGCAUCUGAUCAACCAGUUCAAAUUCUCACCUUUGUCAGAAGCGAAUUAAAGGACAAAUAUCAUUCCCUCAUUCAAAGGAAUGACGAAUUGUCUAAAGGUGUCCUGUAUUCAUUAAGAGAAUUUACUGAUGAAAAGUUUAACAUUGUAAAUGGGGUACUUGAUUCAGAUGAUCUGAGGCACAGAGCAGGUUUUUGAAGACAAAAGGAAGGCUCUAAUAGAGAAGUCCCGUCGUUAUGUCAAUCCCAGGUCACUUGAAAUGAAUUCCAGCAAAUGCAAGAAUUUAUGCCAGGCCUUCUUCGUGGCCUCAGCUGUAGACAGACAUCUCCAGAUAAAAUAGGUCUGCUAAAGUGGGAUGUUUAUAUGGAAAAGUAUCAUGAACUAAAUGAGAAUGAGAAUCACACAUCCAACGAAACAUAGAUUGCUCGGAAGGAAGAGGUCAACAGAAGAUUGUCAGACUCAGGCACAGCAAUGCGUGGGGUGAAAAGACAGAAAAAAGACACCAUUCCACGCAAUCCUGACUUCCUUGAAGAUGAUAUCAUCUCGGAGGUUUACAUGGAUGUUGAAGAAGUAUCUCUGAAUGAUGGAAACCUUUCUACCGGACAUUUGCCAUAUUUAGAAGAUUCCUGUCAUGAACAAAUGUGAAAUCAAUCCGUACAAGAUGGAGAAAAGUCUCCAUCGACGGCACUGCUGAGCGUACCGGAUUAUUGCUUCAAAUGAAAUACAUGUAUGAUGUAUUUAGGCUACUCUGUUAGUUAACUUUGCCUCAGCUACAGCCAUUCAGACCCUAGACAUUCCUCAAACCGUUUAAAAGAUACAUACAAGGCAAUGUUAAAGGCUCCCCACAAGUGUACACGUGUACAAUGUGUGAUAUUGCAGUAAUAUUGCUAAAGGUGGGGUAAAAGUAAACUGACUCACUUACUCAGUAAGACAUGACUAACCAGGGUAACAACAAAUACCAUCUUUUUCACGCCGUUUAGUGUGACACGGAUGUGAGCUAAACUACUGAAUGUCAGGGUAGAAGUUCCAUCUAUUGGACCAAACAGAUGGUGAUAACAAUGUACAGUUCAAUGUGUAUAUGUGAUUAGUAUGAGACACUAAUCACAUGAUUAUAAUAUUAUCCGUUAGCGCAAAAAACAUUUUCUGUCUUCAGUAUCCCCAUUUAGUUUCCAUCUGUUGU